CGCUAGCUACAGGCUUAACACAUGCAAGUCGAGGGGUAGCAUGGUCUUAGCUUGCUAAGGCCGAUGGCGACCGGCGCACGGGUGAGUAACGCGUAUCCAACCUGCCUUACACUCUUGGACAGCCUUCUGAAAGGGAGAUUAAUACAAGAUGUUAUCAUGAGUAAGCAUUUUCGCAUGAUUAAAGGUUUACCGGUGUAAGAUGGGGAUGCGUUCCAUUAGAUAGUAGGCGGGGUAACGGCCCACCUAGUCUUCGAUGGAUAGGGGUUCUGAGAGGAAGGUCCCCCACAUUGGAACUGAGACACGGUCCAAACUCCUACGGGAGGCAGCAGUGAGGAAUAUUGGUCAAUGGACGAGAGUCUGAACCAGCCAAGUAGCGUGAAGGAUGAAGGUUCUAUGGAUUGUAAACUUCUUUUAUACGGGAAUAAACGGAUCCACGUGUGGAUUUUUGCAUGUACCGUAUGAAUAAGGAUCGGCUAACUCCGUGCCAGCAGCCGCGGUAAUACGGAGGAUCCGAGCGUUAUCCGGAUUUAUUGGGUUUAAAGGGAGCGUAGAUGGGUUGUUAAGUCAGUUGUGAAAGUUUGCGGCUCAACCGUAAAAUUGCAAUUGAUACUGGCAGUCUUGAGUACAGUUGAGGUAGGCGGAAUUCGUGGUGUAGCGGUGAAAUGCUUAGAUAUCACGAAGAACUCCGAUUGCGAAGGCAGCUUACUAACCUGUAACUGACAUUGAUGCUCGAAAGUGUGGGUAUCAAACAGGAUUAGAUACCCUGGUAGUCCACACGGUAAACGAUGAAUACUCGCUGUAGGCGAUAUACAGUCUGCGGCCAAGCGAAAGCAUUAAGUAUUCCACCUGGGGAGUACGCCGGCAACGGUGAAACUCAAAGGAAUUGACGGGGGCCCGCACAAGCGGAGGAACAUGUGGUUUAAUUCGAUGAUACGCGAGGAACCUUACCCGGGCUUAAAUUGCAACCGAAUAUGGCGGAAACGCUAUAGCUAGCAAUAGCGGUUGUGAAGGUGCUGCAUGGUUGUCGUCAGCUCGUGCCGUGAGGUGUCGGCUUAAGUGCCAUAACGAGCGCAACCCUUGCCGAUAGUUACUAACAGGUUAUGCUGAGGACUCUGUCGGGACUGCCAUCGUAAGAUGUGAGGAAGGUGGGGAUGACGUCAAAUCAGCACGGCCCUUACGUCCGGGGCUACACACGUGUUACAAUGGGGGGUACAGAGGGCUGCUACCACGCAAGUGGAUGCCAAUCCCAAAAACCUCUCUCAGUUCGGAUUGAAGUCUGCAACCCGACUUCAUGAAGCUGGAUUCGCUAGUAAUCGCGCAUCAGCCACGGCGCGGUGAAUACGUUCCCGGGCCUUGUACACACCGCCCGUCAAGCCAUGGGAGCCGGGGGUACCUGAAGUGCGUAACCGCAAGGAGCGCCCUAGGGUAAAACUGGA
rnacentral:rRNA from 1 species